ACACUCCUGCGGGAGGCAGCAGUGGGGAAUAUUGGACAAUGGGCGCAAGCCUGAUCCAGCCAUGCCGCGUGAGUGAUGAAGGCCCUAGGGUUGUAAAGCUCUUUCACCGGUGAAGAUAAUGACGGUAACCGGAGAAGAAGCCCCGGCUAACUUCGUGCCAGCAGCCGCGGUAAUACGAAGGGGGCUAGCGUUGUUCGGAUUUACUGGGCGUAAAGCGCACGUAGGCGGACUAUUAAGUCAGGGGUGAAAUCCCGGGGCUCAACCCCGGAACUGCCUUUGAUACUGGUAGUCUUGAGUUCGAGAGAGGUGAGUGGAAUUCCGAGUGUAGAGGUGAAAUUCGUAGAUAUGCGGAGGAACACCAGUGGCGAAGGCGGCUCACUGGCUCGAUACUGACGCUGAGGUGCGAAAGCGUGGGGAGCAAACAGGAUUAGAUACCCGAGUAGUCCCAUGAU
rnacentral:rRNA from 1 species